UCAAAAACAGUUUAGGAUAAUAUUAACUUUGGAAGUUAAAGGCUAGUGUAAAACUAUUUUUGAA
rnacentral:tRNA from 1 species